rnacentral:rRNA from 1 species
UACGUAGGGUGCGAGCGUUGUCCGGAAUUACUGGGCGUAAAGGGCUUGUAGGUGGUUUGUCGCGUUGUUCGUGAAAUGCCACAACUCAAUUGUGGGCGUGCGGGCGAUACGGGCAGACUGGAGUACUGCAGGGGAGACUGGAAUUCCUGGUGUAGCGGUGGAAUGCGCAGAUAUCAGGAAGAACACCCGUGGCGAAGGCGGCUCUCUGGGACGGUACUGACGCUGAGACGCGAAAGCGUGGGGAGCGAACAGG